UUUAUCUUUUUUCCAUAGGUUAAAAUCCAUAGGAGAUGAGUGCUCUGAAGCUCAAAACAAGUUGAAGAUCCUGGACAACUUCCAAAAGUCUAGGAGCCAAAGACCAUUAUCAUCUUAGAGGAUCGUAACCUUAAAACUCUAAUGUUAAAUGCACUCUUAGGAGUCCUAAAAGUUCAUGAAGUCCAUCUAAACAAUAAAAAUCAUAUGAAAGCUAAUGACAUUAUUUCUCUAACGAUUGGUGAAGCCAACAAGAAGAGAAACAAAGGCAAAGCUAUGAAGGUGGAGUCUUAGCACAUCAGUUUUGGAGAAAGUUCUGAAGAGUCAGUAGAUGAUGAGAUCUCUCUCAUGUCUAAGAAGUUCUAAACAACAAUAGUAGCAAUAGUGCAAAUGAUGAGAAGACCAAUAUUUUUCAUGAGGUAGAUGCAAAUGAAACAAGAAUUGAGUUUUUGAAGAACCGAUGUAGAUAAGACGAUGUCAAACAAUCACUUUCUAAUAGUGAAGACUCGUGUUUUUGAACUAAUCCAAGCCGUCGAAGAUCAUCGCACUAUCAAAACCCUCAUCGACGAAAAACAAUCCAAGAAGCACAUUGAUCAGUUUGCACUCAAGUCCUCUUUCAAGUACUUUCGUGCACUACCCAGGAAGACUCUCGCGCACUACCCAAGAAGCACGUACACACUACCAAGAACUCUCACACACUACCCAGGAAGCACAUACAUCACUCUUCUCAAACCCUCACCGAUCAUCGCACUUCCCAAGUUGUCGAUGAUCGUCGCACUUUCAAAACCCUCAUCGACGAACAUUGAUCAGCUUGCACUCAAGCUUUCUUUGACAAACGAUGAAAGUCAGUGAAAGUUGUUGAUGUGCUAUUGUAGAGGAACACGAAGAUAUAUGGUGGUGUACUUGGUGGAGCCAUUUUUGUAUGGAUCUAUUUUGAGUUGGUUAUUGUUGGCACAUGGAUUCUAUCAAUUGUGGGGAGCUAGUGCAAUUUCUUGACCUUGUUCUGCAUUGGUGGUGAUGUUGGCAUUGUAGUGUUACCUAGGACUAGUCAAAGAGCUAGUUCAUAGCCAUCCUCUGUGGGUGCCAGGGUUGUGGAGUGUGUGGCAAGAUGGUUGUGGAGUGCUGUGAAAAUAAACUAGAAGAAUCUGAUCCCAAACCCUGCUAUCUAAAUUAGCGGAGAAAUUAACGUGAUCUAGUAAAGCCGAUAUGGCUUGUAAUUAACUAGCUUAUUUAUCAAUCAAGUGUUUGUGAGUUAUUUAUCUAUAUGAAAUCCAUCAUGCUUCUUAGUUUUUAAUGCAUGAAUUUUUAUUCACUUA